rnacentral:rRNA from 1 species
UACGUAUGGGGCAAGCGUUAUCCGGAUUUACUGGGUGUAAAGGGAGCGCAGGCGGCCUGGCAAGCCUGAUGUGAAAUACCGGGGCCCAACCCCGGGGCUGCAUUGGGAACUGCCAGGCUGGAGUGCCGGAGAGGCAGGCGGAAUUCCUAGUGUAGCGGUGAAAUGCGUAGAUAUAUGGAGGAACACCAGUGGCGAAAGCGGCUCUCUGGUCUGUAACUGACGCUGAGGUUCGAAAGCGUGGGUAGCAAACAGG